rnacentral:misc_RNA from 1 species
GUUGAGAACUGAGGAAUUACUUUGAUCAACAUUCAGAGCCGUAGUGGACUCUGAAAUAGCACCCGACUUGAACUUAGGUUUUGGUUUAGCAUGAAUUCCAGUGUACAGCCUGGCAUGUCUAGCAUACUCCUCAUAAUUUUCAAGCAGCAUUUUGCCAGCCUGUUCAUUUAAAGCCGAUUCUGGAAACGGUUCAAUCAAUAAACAUCUCACUACAAUGAGAACAUGCCGUAGUCCAAGACUUGGAUUCCAGUCCUUUUUUAGCGUAUUGACACAAAUCUCACCAUUUGUUGCAAUGUUUGGAUGGAAAAUCUUUGUCAGGAAGUACCCUUUAGGAGGAGAGUGUGGGAAGUCACGAGACAAUAACAGCUUCAUACGAAAAA